GGAAAAGUCCCACUUCUCUUGUCAUUCCUCAGCCUUGUCUCUCAGAACUGCUAUGCAAAAUCUGUGCGUGAAAAGUCCUCAGAGAAGUUGGGUCCUUCUCAUCUGGAACCUCCUUGGAACAAGAGAAGAUUUGGGAGGAGAUUACUCUGGAGCAAAUGAAAGAAUCAAAGAAAACCCCUGAAAAACCUGGGAGAGUUGCUGAUUCACCAGAGGGCCAUGCAGAGGUGCCUUGACACACUGGAGAAACUGACUGAUGAUGGAAACCUCACAAAAUUCAACCAAAAGAAGUCCAGAGUCCUGCAACUGGGGAAGUGCAACCAUGGGCAUCAUCACGUGCUGAGGGACACCCAGGUGGAAAGCAGCUCUGCAGAAAAGGGCCUGGAGUUUUGGUGGUUUCCAAGCUGAAUGUGAACCAGCAGUAUGCGCCUGCUGCUAAGAAUGCUAAUGGUGUCUUGGCUUACAUUAGUCAAAGUAUCAUUAGCAGAUCCAGAGAAGUGAACUUCUCCUAUAUUCAGCACCUAUGAGGCCACACCUGGAGCAGUUCUGGGCUCCCAAGUACAAGAGAGGCAUGGGCAUAAUGGAAAGAGUCCAACAGAAGGCCACAGAAGUUAUGACUGAGGGAUCAGAGCACCUCUGCUAUGAGGGGAGGCUGAGAGAGCUGUGGUUCAGGUGGAUCUCAUCAAUGUCUAUAAACACCUGAAGAGAUACUUGUAAAGAAGAUAGAUCCAAUCUAUUCUCAGCAGUGUUCAGUACCAGGACAAGAGGUCUCAGGCACAGACUGGAACACAGGAGGUUCCCUCUGAACACCAGAAGCACUUCUGUGCUGUGCAGGUGACGGAACACUGCGCAGGCUUCCCAGAGGCUGUAGGGUCUCCUCUUUGGGGAUCUCCAAAAGCUGCCCCAGGGCCACAGGGACCCUGCUCUGGGUGGCCCUUCUGGAGCCAAUGGGACUCAGAAGUUCAAUUUCAACCAUUUUGUGAUUUUGAGAUUGAAUAACAGCUAGGGACUAUAUAAGGGUGUCUAUUCAUAUAGAAAAGUCUGAAGAAGCACAGAGGCAGAGAAAUCUGUGGUUAGGUAAGACAGUAUUUACUGUCUUUUUAUAUAUAUACUUUUAAUAUAUACUGUACCUCACAUUUAUAUUUUCUAAAUAAAAAUAUUCUGUAUUAUUUGAAUAUUUUUACAAAUGAA